UACGAAGGGUACAAGCGUUAAUCGGAAUUACUGGGCGUAAAGCGCGCGUAGGUGGUUCAGUAAGUUGGAAGUGAAAUCCCCGGGCUCAACCUGGGAACUGCUUUCAAAACUGCUGAGCUAGAGUACGGUAGAGGGUGGUGGAAUUUCCUGUGUAGCGGUGAAAUGCGUAGAUAUAGGAAGGAACACCAGUGGCGAAGGCGACCACCUGGACUGAUACUGACACUGAGGUGCGAAAGCGUGGGGAGCAAACAGG
rnacentral:rRNA from 1 species